GUUCUGGAAACGAUAUCAUAAACCAGAAUUCUGAACGUCUCCAAAAUGUCACCAGAAACCAAGUGGACAGGAUCUGAGGAAUCGUGAGGAUCAGGCACUAGUGUACAUCUUUCUUAUAGUUUGGGUGUGGAGGGUACCCAUUCAUUCAGUGUUUGCUGUCCUUUGUCUGCCUGACAGUCUGUUCGCUCUGUAUCCAUUUAGCAUAUGACUAGUGUACAUAGAUCUUUCUGUAGAUUUAUU